UACGAAGGGGGCUAGCGUUGUUCGGAGUUACUGGGCGUAAAGGGCGCGUAGGCGGCGCACCACGUCAGGCGUGAAAGCCCUGGGCUCAACCCGGGAAUUGCGCUUGAGACUGGUGUGCUUGAGUACGGGAGAGGAUAGUGGAAUUCCCAGUGUAGAGGUGAAAUUCGUAGAUAUUGGGAAGAACACCGGUGGCGAAGGCGGCUAUCUGGACCGUAACUGACGCUGAGGCGCGAAAGCGUGGGGAGCAAACAGG
rnacentral:rRNA from 1 species